CCACCACGCCUGGUCACACAACAGCACUUUUUAAAAUAUGAGGAAACUGAGACACGAGGACAGAGAGAGGGCACUGAAUCAGCCUGGAAGCCAGAGAUCUGGGGCCAGGCUAUUAGAAAAUCUUCCUUAUUGAGACAUUCUGAACUGAAUCUUCAAGGACAAGUGACAGGGUGGGCCAUGAAAGGAGAGGGGAAAUUCCUGGAAGAAGGAAAUGGCAAGAGCAGAAUUUUGGCCACGUGGUGGAUAUGUCUUGGAAAUGAAAAUGAGUCCACAGACAGUGAAGGAAGUAUGGCCAAAGGUCAGAACCUGGAGGGAGCAUGGUCACUUCAGUGGCAGAUGGAACCUGGGAAAACUGGGAAGUAGGCUUCAAAAGAAUGGUCAACAGUCAAAGCAGAACCAGAGAGGAUGUUGUCUUGGAAACCAAGGGAAUGGAACAUUUUGAGCAACAGGACAUAGUCAUCGGUGACUUUAAAGGGCAUCCUAUAAGGCAAGGAGGAAGAAAUGUCCCCUCAGCAAUAAUAAGGUUGUUGGUGGCUGUUUUGAUGAAUAGAUGUCUCAUCCACUUCCCUGUCUUUAGGAAGUGAAUGUGAAAGCAGGAGAAGAGGAGGAGGAGCCAGUGAGUGAAGACGCUCUAGAAACUUGGUUGAAGAUACCUAGGCAUUAUGCACCCCUGAGGGAAGAACACAACAUCUCCUACAGAGCAGUCUUACCCAAACAAAUCAAAUCUGCAUCUGAGCAAGCCUCUAUCCAACCAAUAAUUUACAGAAAAUACAGAGAACAGGUGAACCUGUUGAAACACACCAUAGGGAUGCAAUCUGAAAAUCCCAGACUACAACAAACUGCAGAACAAACAACCCAGUUUCCCAGUUUUUUAAAAAUAAAUUGCAAGGGGAAAAAAGAUACGGAGAGAAACUUGUAGUAAAAAGACAGAUCAACCAAUCACAAUUGCAGUGCAGACCCAAUUUGGAUCCUGAUUCAAACAAACAAACAAAAUUUAUGAGACAAAUGGAAAUCUGGCUGGAUAUUUGCUGGCAUAAGGAAUUACUAUUAAUUUUUCUAGUAUGCUAAUGAUAUUGUGCUUAU